rnacentral:rRNA from 1 species
UCCGGAGGGGGCUAUCGUUGUUCGGAAUUACUGGGCGUAAAGCGCACGUAGGCGGAUUGUUAAGUCGGGGGUGAAAUCCCGGGGCUCAACCCCGGAACUGCCUUCGAUACUGGCAAUCUAGAGUUCUGGAGAGGUGAGUGGAAUUCCGAGUGUAGAGGUGAAAUUCGUAGAUAUUCGGAGGAACACCAGUGGCGAAGGCGGCUCACUGGCCAGACACUGACGCUGAGGUGCGAAAGCGUGGGGAGAAAACAGG